AAUGAACGCUGGCGGCAGGCCUAACACAUGCAAGUCGAACGAGGCAGCAAUGCCUAGUGGCGGACGGGUGAGUAACGCGUGGGAACGUGCCCUUUGCUACGGAAUAGCCCCGGGAAACUGGGAGUAAUACCGUAUGUGCCCUUCGGGGGAAAGAUUUAUCGGCAAAGGAUCGGCCCGCGUUGGAUUAGGUAGUUGGUGGGGUAAUGGCCUACCAAGCCGACGAUCCAUAGCUGGUUUGAGAGGAUGAUCAGCCACACUGGGACUGAGACACGGCCCAGACUCCUACGGGAGGCAGCAGUGGGGAAUCUUAGACAAUGGGCGGAAGCCUGAUCUAGCCAUGCCGCGUGAUCGAUGAAGGCCUUAGGGUUGUAAAGAUCUUUCAGGUGGGAAGAUAAUGACUGUACCACCAGAAGAAGCCCCGGCUAACUCCGUGCCAGCCGCCGCCGUAAGAC
rnacentral:rRNA from 1 species